GACGAACGCUGGCGGCGUGCCUAAUACAUGCAAGUUGAGCGCUUAAGGUUGGUACGUGUACCAACUGGAUGAGCAGCGAACGGGUGAGUAACGCGUGGGUAAUCGGCCUUUGAGCGGGGGACAACAUUUGGAGACGAAUGCUAAUACCGCAUAAAAACUUGAAACACAAGGUUUAAGGGUGAAAGAUGCAAUUGCAUCACUCAAAGAUGAUCCCGCGUUGUCUUAGCUAGUAGGUGAGGUAAAGGCUGACCAAGGAGAGGAUACAUAGCCGCCCUGCUAGGAUGAUCAGCAACCAUGGGAGUGAGAAAAGGCCCACACGACUACGAGAGGAAGCAGUAGGGAAUCAUAGGCAACGGAGGGAAGUCGGACCGAGCAACGACGCGGGAGGGAAGAAGGGUCUCGGGUCGUAAAACUCCGUUGGUAGGGAAGAAAGUUGGUGAGGGUAGAAAGUUGAUGAAGUGACGGUAACUACAGAGAAAGGGACGGCUAACUACGUG
rnacentral:rRNA from 1 species